CAUCGCCUUUUUCUUUGUUUUGCGUGCGUUCUUCUUCACAAAUUCUGGACUUGGCUGGUGUGCGUUGGAAACCCUAGGGCAGAUGAGGUUCUUUGCGGUGAGGAGGUAGAAGGUUUCAAUGAAAUUGGUGACCAGUCGAGCCAAACGAAGUUGUUCGUGGUGAGGAGGUAGAGUGUUCGCCGUUUGCAGUGAAACCCUAAAGGUUGGUGAUUUCUUUGACUCGUUUUUGUUUUUUUACCCAAUAUUUUCUUCUACCUCUUUAUCUAUUUGCAUACUUAGUUUUAGUCUUAAAUUUAUGAACCAAUGUGCGUAUUCUGGAUGGGUGCCAAUUCUGUUUUUUUAGGGUUUGUACUAGGCAUGGUAAUGUGUGAAAUCUAUAUGUGCUUCAGCACAGACAGGUUAUAGCUUCCAAGACUUAUUGAUUUUUGCAUGAUUGAUUUUGGCAUGUGAAAUCUUCAAACCUUGGUAGGUGUCGCUGCUAUUGUUGUAGAAUAAAAUAUGCAUAUUUGUGCCUAGCUACUGCAUAGUAGAUAGAAUCUAUUUUUGGGUAAUUUGUUGGUGAGAUUUUUAUUUGUAUCUUAGGUGGAAAAUUUGUACUUUGGCCUUCGUUAUUGGCUAAUGUAGAUUGACUUGAUUUUCUUUGUAAAAGGGUUAAGAGACACCCCUUAUGUGUCUUAGAAACAGAAUACCAUCACCUGUUAGUAAUUAUUCACAAUCUACUACAUUCAAAGUUCACUUCAGUCAAGCAUAAGAAAUAGCAUGAUACGAAUUUGAAUAGUUCAGUGACAGGAACACAGACUUUAAUUUAUAAAACUAUGUAUAAAAUUAAGGACUUGUGUAUGGUUUUAAAUUGUGGUUGUAAUUUAGUAAAAAAUCAUUAAUACUGCAACAAAUUGUGGAAAAACAUUGUGGAUGAGGUCAUAGUUACCGUCACAAAAAUAGUUGCAGUAAAUUGAAAAUCUUUUACCUCAUAGUCAAAGUUGAGAAAGACAGAUGAUAUAAGGAGCAAGCAGAGAUUUGAGAGCCUAGAUACGCAUAAAUUACAUAUUUUGUAAUCUUGGCUGAUAAAAACAAAUAUAUUUUGUCAUCUUAAUUUGAUAAUACCCUUUUGUGAAUGUUAUUGUUUUAUCAGUUGAAUGGAACAACAUAUUCGUAAUAACUUAAGAAACUACAAAGUUCAGCAAAUAAAUUGCUACAAUCUGUCCAAGUACAACUUGCAUUUUGGUUAAAUUUUGUCUUUAACUGCCACUUAUGUGUAUUUUUUUCUUAAUUCACAGUUUUAAACCAAUGAAAAGGGCCAAUUCCAAUAAAUCAUAUACAGCUGUAGUUGGUAACAAGGUGAGAAAUAGGUAUAUUCUCAAUAGCCAAGGUCUCUCUAUCUUUCUUCUUUCAAUUUGUGGAACCCUUUUGAAGUCAUGACUUUUUGUAGGUGCAACUUCUACACAAGAAAAUGCAAGUUGGGAGGUGAAACUUCAAUUCCAAAUCCAUUAAGGUUCAAACUAUUACAUUUAUUAUGUUUUUAUUUAUUUAUUUAAAAAAUGUUACAUGUAGAAAACUCCAUUUUUGAAGCAUUGUAUAUACCUUGUAAGUGUGUCUGCUUGUAUGCAAUACUGCAUAACUGUAUCUGCUAAAAUCACAUAGCAAAAUCUGAAACCAUAUAGGUAUAUGCUAAUGCUCUGAAACAGACAAUGGGUAAAAUAAUGAAAAAUGAAUUGAAUAGUAUGAGUGGGAUGGGAGGUUAUGAUUAAGUGAAGCAAAGGUCCAAGGUGUGGAUAGGAAAGUUAGGUCACGUGUAUCCUUACAAAACUUUUCUAAGACAGCAAUUGGUUUUCUUAACAAUAAAACUGUACUCAUCACUAACCCUAUAGGCAAAGACAAUAUCCUUACAAAAUUCUUCUAAGACAACAACUGCACACAAAUUAAUCAAGGGCUUUAUCAUCAUUUGGCUUCACAAAUUCAUAUAUAUAUAUAUAUAUAUAUAUAUAUAUAUAUAUAUAUAUGUGUGUGUUAAUUAUAUGUAUUCAUGGUGGCGUCUCGUGAGGUGUUUGCCUUUAAGGGGACUGGUGGGUCACAUCCCACGUGAUGGCUUAAUGCCAAAGAUCAUUUGAAACCAUAUUCUACACGUUUUUUUCCCUAAUUUACUUAUAUAUUUAUGCAGGAACCAAACACUAAGACCAAUCAUUAUUGAUCUUUCCCUUGACUUGUGGUUGAAAUAUGAGUUAGCAUUGAUCACUCAAAUUUGAUGAUUCCCUUUUAAAUUGUUUAUUG
rnacentral:lncRNA from 1 species